GGCAAAGUCUAUGGCCGAAGGAGACUUCCUUCGGUCGUAUGGGAAGUGUGUAGACCCUCCCGUUGCCAGAACUUGGAAGUCACUGCGUUCUUGGAUCGCUUCGUACAGUUCCCUUCCUCUUUGGCAGGACCUGAAAUUACCCCACCAGGGGUGUUUGGCAUUCCAGUCGCCGCAGAUCAUGUAGCUGUUAUUGACUGAUCCAGCUGCAGACUGGUCAAGGAGAGUGAAUAGGCGGGAGAAAUUUUGUUUAAUCCAACUGUGACCUGGCGGGCAGUACAAAGGUGCCAGGAUCAUCAGGCCGUCCUCGCUACCAUCAUCCGGGAGUAGGGCUACAGGGGCACUUUGGACUGACUCCUCGUUGACGGGCUGUAGGGCGAUGUGUUUUAUGCCUGUUCUCACAAGGGUGGCAACACCUCCCCUUCUCCGGCUUACAGGAUUACUGGCAUGGUAUGUGAUGUAACCAUCAACAGCUAUGUCGGCACCUUUGGUCUCUAGAACCAUC
rnacentral:lncRNA from 1 species